rnacentral:rRNA from 1 species
UACGGGGGGGGCAAGCGUUGUUCGGAAUUACUGGGCGUAAAGGGCUCGUAGGCGGCCAACUAAGUCAGACGUGAAAUCCCUCGGCUUAACCGGGGAACUGCGUCUGAUACUGGAUGGCUUGAGUUUGGGAGAGGGAUGCGGAAUUCCAGGUGUAGCGGUGAAAUGCGUAGAUAUCUGGAGGAACACCGGUGGCGAAGGCGGCAUCCUGGACCAACACUGACGCUGAGGAGCGAAAGCCAGGGGAGCAAAACGGGG